rnacentral:rRNA from 1 species
GAGUUUGAUCCUGGCUCAGGAUGAACGCUGGCGGCAUGCCUAACACAUGCAAGUUGAACGAGAAGUUCUGGAGGGAGUCUUCGGACGAACGAAGGAAUGGAAAGUAGCGAACGGGUGAGUAACGCGUGGGCAACCAACCUUACACAGGGGGAUAACGCAGAGAAAUUUGCGCUAAUACCGCAUAAGCGCACAGUACCGCAUGGUACGGUGUGAAAAACUCCGGUGGUGUAAGACGGGCCCGCGUCUGAUUAGUUAGUUGGUGAGGUAAAAGCUCACCAAGGCGACGAUCAGUAGCCGACCUGAGAGGGUGAUCGGCCACAUUGGGACUGAGACACGGCCCAAACUCCUACGGGAGGCAGCAGUGGGGGAUAUUGCACAAUGGAGGAAACUCUGAUGCAGCAAUGCCGCGUGAAGGAAGACGGUUUUCGGAUUGUAAACUUCUAUCAGCAGGGAAGAAAAU